rnacentral:rRNA from 1 species
GGCUCAGAACGAACGCUGGCGGCGUGCUUAACACAUAGCAAGUCGAAACGCAAAGGGGACUUCGGGUCCUGAGUAAAGUGGCGCACGGGUGAGUAACGCGUAGAUAACCUGUCUUCAUGUCUGGAAUAAUACGCCGAAAGGGGUACUAAUACCGGAUAUUCUUGCUUUUCAUAAGUUAUGCAAGCAAAGGUGGCCUCUGCAUAUGCUACUGCAUGAAGAGGGGUCUGCGUACCAUUAGCUAGUAGGUGGGGUAAUGGCCUACCUAGGCGACGAUGGUUAGCGGGUCUGAGAGGAUGAUCCGCCACACUGGCACUGGAACACGGGCCAGACUCCUACGGGAGGCAGCAGUGAGGAAUAUUGCGCAAUGGGGGAAACCCUGACGCAGCGACGCCGCGUGAGUGAGGAAGGCCUUCGGGUCGUAAAGCUCUGUCAAGAGGAAAGAAGUGUACAAUGGCUAAUACCUGUUGUAUUUGACGGUACCUCUAAAGGAAGCACCGGCUAACUCCGUGCCAGCCGCCGC